rnacentral:rRNA from 1 species
CUCCUACGGGAGGCAGCAGUGGGGAAUAUUGGACAAUGGGCGCAAGCCUGAUCCAGCCAUGCCGCGUGAGUGAUGAAGGCCUUAGGGUUGUAAAGCUCUUUUAGCAGGGAAGAUAAUGACGGUACCUGCAGAAAAAGCCCCGGCUAACUUCGUGCCAGCAGCCGCGGUAA